rnacentral:rRNA from 1 species
GACGAACGCUGGCGGCGUGCUUAACACAUGCAAGUCGAACGGAAGGGCCCUGCUUUUGUGGGGUGCUCGAGUGGCGAACGGGUGAGUAACACGUGAGUAACCUGCCCUUGACUUUGGGAUAACUUCAGGAAACUGGGGCUAAUACCGGAUAGGAGCUCCUGCUGCAUGGUGGGGGUUGGAAAGUUUCGGCGGUUGGGGAUGGACUCGCGGCUUAUCAGCUUGUUGGUGGGGUAGUGGCUUACCAAGGCUUUGACGGGUAGCCGGCCUGAGAGGGUGACCGGCCACAUUGGGACUGAGAUACGGCCCAGACUCCUACGGGAGGCAGCAGUGGGGAAUAUUGCACAAUGGGGAAGCCUGAUGCAGCAACGCCGCGUGCGGGAUGACGGCCUUCGGGUUGUAAACCGCUUUCGCCUGUGACGAAGCGUGAGUGACGGUAAUGGGUAAAGAAGCACCGGCUAACUACGUG